CAGCCGCCACGGGAAUACAGAGGGUGCGAGCGUUAAUCGGAUUUACUGGGCGUAAAGCGUGCGUAGGCGGCUUCUUAAGUCGGAUGUGAAAUCCCUGAGCUUAACUUAGGAAUUGCAUUCGAUACUGGGAAGCUAGAGUAUGGGAGAGGACGGUAGAAUUCCAGGUGUAGCGGUGAAAUGCGUAGAGAUCUGGAGGAAUACCGAUGGCGAAGGCAGCCAUCUGGCCUAAUACUGACGCUGAGGUACGAAAGCAUGGGGAGCAAACAGGAUUAGAUACCCGAGUAGUCCCUGUCCUUAUACA
rnacentral:rRNA from 1 species